rnacentral:lncRNA from 1 species
AUGUGCUUGUUUUGUCUUUUCUGUAUGAGCUACUUAAGAGCAGAGACACAUAAGGAAGGAAGGCAAAAUGAAAGAGAAGGAGAGACAAAGACAGAGGGAGGGAGAGAGGGAGUUUCUCAAAGUUUUGUUUAUAACAAUUUUAUCCUUUCUUCCAUAGAGGUAUCUGUUUCAUUAGGAAAGAGCUCUGAGAAAGCAAAAUUACUUUAUUUGGACAACAGCUAGAAAUAUUUCCUGUUUAUUUCUCUGACAUAUUGUACUGUAGAGUUGCUUAUAAACAGAUUUUGUAAAAUCAAUAACAGUUUAAAGAAAAUGCAAAGCAUCUAGCUAGUCACA